GAGUUUGAUCUUGGCUCAGAUUGAACGCUGGCGGCAUGCCUUACACAUGCAAGUCGAACGGCAGCACGGGAGCUUGCUCCUGGUGGCGAGUGGCGAACGGGUGAGUAAUGCAUCGGAACGUAUCCUGGAGUGGGGGAUAACGUAGCGAAAGUUACGCUAAUACCGCAUAUUCUGUGAGCAGGAAAGCGGGGGACCUUCGGGCCUCGCGCUCUUGGAGCGGCCGAUGUCGGAUUAGCUAGUUGGUGAGGUAAAGGCUCACCAAGGCGACGAUCCGUAGCAGGUCUGAGAGGAUGAUCUGCCACACUGGAACUGAGACACGGUCCAGACUCCUACGGAGGCAGCAGUGGGAAUUUUGGACAAUGGGGGCAACCCUGAUCCAGCCAUGCCGCGUGAGUGAAGAAGGCC
rnacentral:rRNA from 1 species